rnacentral:lncRNA from 1 species
ACAACAAUUAAUUAAUCCAAUUAAUUAUUUCCAUCAUCCAUUAGUUACUCACUACAAUAGUGUUGUGGUGAACAAUCUUUUAGGUUCUAAUUAGCAAGGCAGUGAGGUGAUUCGCAUCAAUCCAAUUGCUUAUAUUUAAUUCAAUCACUUAGUGAAUUAAAACCUUAUUUUAAUUCACCUUUCUUCUUUGAUGACUACAUUUAAUCAUCUAGAAGAACUCACAAGCUAUGAGUGAC